ACUACAUGAAGUUGGAAUCGCUAGUAAUCGCGGAUCAGCAUGUCGCGGUGAAUACGUUCCCGGGUCUUGUACACACCGCCCGUCACACCAUGGGAGCGGGUUUUACCAGAAGUAGGUAGCUUAACCGCAAGGGGGGCGCUUACCACGGUAGGAUUCGUGACUGGGGUGAAGUCGUAACAAGGUAGCCGUAUCGGAAGGUGCGGCUGGAUCACCUCCUUUCUAG
rnacentral:rRNA from 1 species